ensembl:lncRNA
CGAAGUUGAGACGCUCGUACUUUGAGAUCCUCAGUAGUCGUUUGGCGUCUUCACCUGCAGUCCCGAGGGGCCCAAGAACCUCAAACACCCCCAGGAGACCACACUAUUGUGAGCAUCACUCACUCUCAUUUACUCACUCAUUCACUCAGUCCCUCACUCACUCUGUCACUCACUCCCUCAUUUACUCACUCAGUCAACCAUUCACUCACGCACACAGUGUGCAGAACUGCUGUGCACAACUGUUCCCAUGUUUCUCAAUAGUAGGCUACUAUAGUUUUAUUAACGCGUCUAAGGGUGUAUGGUAAACCGAUGAUUCCAUACGGUAAUGAAUCGUGACUCGUUUUGCAUACUAGACGAAGCUACGUUUUAGGAAAAACAUCAGGACUUUGAAAGUAUUAAUGAUAAAGACUGUCGAUUUGAAAGGGGAAGUAGUUCUUGGCAGGGAAAGUAGUCAACCUCUGUAAAGACACAUUUCGGUUUUUGAUAAACCUGUUGCCUCGGCUGGAUGGAGGGUUAAGGAGUUUUGGUUAUCCAAAUAGUUUCCACUUGACCUCAGCAGUAUCGCCUCUAAACCCUGUGAAACAUCUUGUAUCACCUUUAAUUUAGGUAAACGAUGGCACAUACAUUAAUACUUUUAUAUUGGAGUAGGACACCAUUGUAGAAAUGCAGUAAAGUAAAGUACAAGGUAUAUACUAAUCUCUUCAGUAACUUUCAAUGCGAAAAAAAGUGUGUGUGUGUGUGUUAAGACCAAGCAAUUUUAGCAGGCAGAACAAAGACGCACAAUUCUGAGGUUGUGUUCCAGACAUGUGCCGGCACAGUACAUUAAACUGUGUGUGUUUUUGUGUUGCAGUCGACUCGUCGUCGGGCAGCCCAUGGGGAGGUGGGACGGACGAGCCGUGUGAGCCAAUCGACGAGCAGCAGCGCACGGCGCUGUCCAAUCAGCAGCUGGCUCAGCUUAUCCGCUCCCUGGGCCUGGUAGAACAGAGCCAGGAGCCCCGCCUCCUGACCUUUGACCUCAAGUAUCUCCAGGACAGCCUCCAGCUGCAGAAGGCCAACGUGUUCCGCUCUAUCCCCUACUCGCGCUUCGGCUCCAAUCGCGACGCCCACUGCUACCGCAAGGCCUACCCCCACCUGCUCGCCUUCAAGGUGUCGUGUCAUGAGUGGGGCCAGGUGCUGCUGCGUGGCUCCCAGUGGGCCUCGGCGCUGGAGUACGCCCUGAUGGCGUGGCGCUACGCGGGUGAGCUGCCGCGCUGGGACACGCCCGGACACAACGCACUCAGGGACCAGUGCUUCGCCUCGCUAGCCGCCGUCUGCCUCGCCGCCCUGCGUCACCAAGGCGACGUCGCCAAGGGCCCCGCCCAGGGACAUCAGCUGCUGCGGAGGCUAAGAAUGGCGGCGCACCAUAGUCAGGCCAUCAUGCCCUGCAUACAGGAACUGGAGAGGAUUCUAGAACCCAGUGGGGACCCUGCCAUGGAAAGGCAGUGAAGAACUACAAAUCCCAGAGGAACACUAGGGACCAACUGGAUUGGUUUACUGUAACCAACUGAAAAGAGGGAAUGGAUUGGUGCUUUCUCUUGUGUUAUUGUGUUUUUUUUGGGAGGUUGAAAAAAAGCCACUACAGUAUUCCGAUUGUAAAUUUGUGUGUCGCAACGGUACAAUUCGGGUCGGAUUCAGUGUUGGUAAUUCUUUUAGAAGUAAGCAUCGCUCAGCAUGGAUUUUUUGAGUACAAAGUCAUUUUUGCAGAAGAAUAAUGGUAAUCCAUAUUUUCGUGCGUGUGUGUGUGUGUGUGCGCGUGUGUGUGUGUGUGGGGGGGGGGUUUCUGCGUUCUGAUUCCCUUGACGAUAUCCACAUAACUUGAAACUACACUCCGGUCUGUCGGUUUAUGUAUAUAUACUUUUCGUCAUGAUUUUAUAGUCUGACGUAACUGUUUGCACUGUAAGCCUUUUCACCUAAAAAAACUUGAAAUAUCUUUUCUAUGAAUAAACGUAUUUAAAUUAAUAUUGGAA